rnacentral:rRNA from 1 species
AGUGAACGCUGGCGGUAGGCCUAACACAUGCCAGUCGAACGGCAGCACAGUAAGAGCUUGCUCUUACGGGUGGCGAGUGGCGGACGGGUGAGGAAUACAUCGGAAUCUACUUUUUCGUGGGGGAUAACGUAGGGAAACUUACGCUAAUACCGCAUACGACCUACGGGUGAAAGCAGGGGAUCUUCGGACCUUGCGCGAUUGAAUGAGCCGAUGUCGGAUUAGCUAGUUGGCGGGGUAAAGGCCCACCAAGGCGACGAUCCGUAGCUGGUCUGAGAGGAUGAUCAGCCACACUGGAACUGAGACACGGUCCAGACUCCUACGGGAGGCAGCAGUGGGGAAUAUUGGACAAUGGGCGCAAGCCUGAUCCAGCCAUACCGCGUGGGUGAAGAAGGCCUUCGGGUUGUAAAGCCCUUUUGUUGGGAAAGAAAAGCAGCAGGUUAAUACCGCGCUGUUCUGACGGUACCCAAAGAAUAAGCACCGGCUAACUUCGUG